GUGUCAGCCGCCGCGGUAAUACGGAGGGUGCUAGCGUUGUUCGGAAUCACUGGGCGUAAAGCGCGUGUAGGCGGCCCAUUAAGUCUGAUGUGAAAGCCCGGGGCUCACCCCCGGAAGUGCAUUGGAAACUGAUGGGCUGGAGUCCCGGAGAGGAGGGUGGAAUUCCUGGUGUAGCGGUGAAAUGCGUAGAUAUCAGGAGGAACACCGGUGGCGAAGGCGGCCCUCUGGACGGUGACUGACGCUGAGACGCGAAAGCGUGGGGAGCAAACAGGAUUAGAUACCCGAGUAGUCC
rnacentral:rRNA from 1 species